CCGCGGGACUCGCUAGCCUCUGGCCGCGCGCACCGGGCUGCAGUUGGAGGGACCAGGCGUCGCCUCGCUCGGUGGGACCGGCCACGACCGCGGCGUGGGCGCCCAACCGCCGCCUCAGCGCCCUGGGUCCUCCGCCCUUUCCCUUGGGUCCCCGAGGGCGGCGCCUGUCGCACGCGAGUCCCGGCAGCCGGGACCCUCCGAUGGGGGACCGGGCUCAGCGGCGGGGCCAGCCAGGUUCGGCCGGAUGAGGGGGACGUGGGGGAGCUGGCCCCGGGAGGUUGAGCCCCAGGUCGCCGGGCAGGCGGCAGCGGGGCCAGCGUCCAGGUGCUGAGCGACACGGGACAGAGCGGCCCCGGGCGCCAGAGCCCCCGGGCGCGUCUCUCCAAGCGCCGCCACAGAGGACAGCAGUUAGGCCGGCGCCCCGCCGCCGCGUGCGGGUGGCCCAGGGCCCGGGACAGCCACCUCCAGAUGCUUCACGGGGUGGCCCGGCAUCCCGGAGCCGGCGGCGGCGCGGCCGCCCGGGGAAGCUGAGCCCGCGGCACCCGCAGCUGGGCCGCCGGGAUCCUGCGGUGGCACCCAGGUGCCCCGACCUGCCUGCCCGCCGCCCCCACGUCAGCCGGUCCGGGAGGGCAGGGCCUCUUCACUUAGCUCUACGCAUGUGGGCACACGGUCUUCAAGGCCCAGAACUUGCCUCGGCUCGCCCAGGUGGUGGCGGCCCUGCCAGGGCUUGACCAGGGCUGCCUGGCACACCUGGAACCAUCAGAUCCUGGCGAGUCCUCGUCAUGCGCACGUCACGAAUGACUUCGUUGUGUUCUGUUUCGAUGGUGCUUAGGGCGCUCGGCGCCGGGGCACACGAGUGAUGGAUGAGCGCCCCGGAGGGCCAACUCGGGGGCACUUGCAAGUGCGCCUUGGGCACACCGGGCCUCCGUCUCUCAGAAGAUGAGGGCGGGGCCACGCGUGGUCAGAACAUCUCGGUGGCAGGUUGCUCCCGGAACUGAGUCGCGCAGCAAACCCAGCGGCUGUCAGUGAGGCGUCUUCUCCCAGUGGGAAGACUGGCGUCUUUGCAAAAAUUACUUAAACAAAUGUAAACUGACAACUCUGGAAGUACCUUUGAAAGGUGGGUCCUCAGAAGGGCCAUGAAGACGUCUCUCUAUUCUCUGCACUUAUGCACCUUGCCUGAGGAAGCCUGGGUGACAACUGAAGUGAACUUUGCAAGGUGAACAGUAGUCCCUCUGACAGAUGAGCAUGGGCACCAUUCUUCCUUCCUGCAGCCCAGGUGGAUUUUUGUCUCAUCUUCUUUUAUCUGGUGCUCUUUGCGUCUCCUUGGGAGUAUU